AAAAACAUGAAAUGAUACAAGAUACACCAGGGAAAAAACGAUUUACACUCUACUGGGAGGCCUAUACUUCUGUAAAUAUAAUCGAAGGCCGGUCCAUCUUCUUGCCCAGGCCUUGUGGUAUGUUACAAACAACAUGGUGGAAGGUACAAUGUAGGGACAAUGUAUCAGCCUCUACAAUUGCUGUAUACAAGCAUCCUCGAGAUGUGGCGUUCACUCUAAUUAGUUUUUGCCCGUUUCCAUACAAUAACUGUACCGUCUGAAUCAGAUGAGGCAAGCAAAUUUUCCCCAUGAUUCCAGGCCACUCCCAUUACUGGAGAGCCG
rnacentral:lncRNA from 1 species